AUGAACGCUAGCUACAGGCUUAACACAUGCAAGUCGAGGGGCAGCAUGGUCUUAGCUUGCUAAGGCCGAUGGCGACCGGCGCACGGGUGAGUAACGCGUAUCCAACCUGCCUUACACUCUUGGACAGCCUUCUGAAAGGGAGAUUAAUACAAGAUGUUAUCAUGAGUAAGCAUUUUCGCAUGAUUAAAGGUUUACCGGUGUAAGAUGGGGAUGCGUUCCAUUAGAUAGUAGGCGGGGUAACGGCCCACCUAGUCUUCGAUGGAUAGGGGUUCUGAGAGGAAGGUCCCCCACAUUGGAACUGAGACACGGUCCAAACUCCUACGGGAGGCAGCAGUGAGGAAUAUUGGUCAAUGGACGAGAGUCUGAACCAGCCAAGUAGCGUGAAGGAUGAAGGUUCUAUGGAUUGUAAACUUCUUUUAUACGGGAAUAAACGAAUCCACGUGUGGAUUUUUGCAUGUACCGUAUGAAUAAGGAUCGGCUAACUCCGUGCCAGCAGCCGCGGUAAUACGGAGGAUCCGAGCGUUAUCCGGAUUUAUUGGGUUUAAAGGGAGCGUAGAUGGGUUGUUAAGUCAGUUGUGAAAGUUUGCGGCUCAACCGUAAAAUUGCAAUUGAUACUGGCAGUCUUGAGUACAGUUGAGGUAGGCGGAAUUCGUGGUGUAGCGGUGAAAUGCUUAGAUAUCACGAAGAACUCCGAUUGCGAAGGCAGCUUACUAACCUGUAACUGACAUUGAUGCUCGAAAGUGUGGGUAUCAAACAGGAUUAGAUACCCUGGUAGUCCACACGGUAAACGAUGAAUACUCGCUGUAGGCGAUAUACAGUCUGCGGCCAAGCGAAAGCAUUAAGUAUUCCACCUGGGGAGUACGCCGGCAACGGUGAAACUCAAAGGAAUUGACGGGGGCCCGCACAAGCAGUGGAGUAUGUGGUUUAAUUCGAAGCAACGCGAAGAACCUUACCAGGGCUUGACAUCCCACUAACGAAGCAGAGAUGCAUUAGGUGCCCUUCGGGGAAAGUGGAGACAGGUGGUGCAUGGUUGUCGUCAGCUCGUGUCGUGAGAUGUUGGGUUAAGUCCCGCAACGAGCGCAACCCUUACUGUCAGUUACUACGCAAGAGGACUCUGGCAGGACUGCCGUUGACAAAACGGAGGAAGGUGGGGAUGACGUCAAAUCAGCACGGCCCUUACGUCCGGGGCUACACACGUGUUACAAUGGGGGGUACAGAGGGCUGCUACCACGCAAGUGGAUGCCAAUCCCAAAAACCUCUCUCAGUUCGGAUUGAAGUCUGCAACCCGACUUCAUGAAGUUGGAUUCGCUAGUAAUCGCGCAUCAGCCACGGCGCGGUGAAUACGUUCCCGGGCCUUGUACACACCGCCCGUCAAGCCAUGGGAGCCGGGGGUACCUGAAGUGCGUAACCGCAAGGAGCGCCCUAGGGUAAAACUGGUGACUGGGGCU
rnacentral:rRNA from 1 species